AUGACCUUGCAUAAAUGGGCAUACAAAACUAACAAUCCCUUGUUCCUUGGUUUUGUCCCUCGGCUAUCCAAACUAAGCCUCACUAACGCGUAUCGUUCAUCAAACAACCACAAGUUAAGCCAAUUGCUGGUUAACGUCCCCUCGAUAAGUGAUUUGCAUCUGGAUUUUCUAAGUGAAAAGAUUUGGGUUCAACCAGAAUCCAAGAAACUGGUUGCGCCUGUGCUCAGCAAACUACGCCUUGUGAAUCUCAACAAUCUUCCUGAGGAAUGUGAUAUCGCUUGGACAAUGUUCUUUCUUGAAGCCGCACCAUCUCUAGAAGAGUUUUCCAUCACAGUAUGGGAUCAUAAGUGCGAAAUGAAGUCGCAAAAAAGUCACUCCCAGAAAACAGAUGUGAAGUGGGAGCCAUCUACUCCUGAUUUCAACCACAAAAAUCUGGCAAGGCUUACUAUCUAUGGCUUCCAAUCAGACAACAACUUCAUGCGAUACGUGAGGCGCGCCAUUCAAGCUGCGGUGAACAUCAAGGAGGUAUCUCUGCACGAUAGGAAGGUGUGCAAGCUAUGCACUCACAAGUUCCCUCAUAUCGGGGUUCGUCCUUCGAGUUAUCCACGGACUAGCGAGGAGGUUGAUUUAUUCAGGAAGAAGAUCACCGAGGCGAAGGCCGGUUCCCAUGCUAUGAUUCACUUGCACACCAUCGGUGAAUCUUUUGCUCUCACCAUGGCGGCUGAGAACCAAGAUGCGGCCGAUUAG
rnacentral:rRNA from 1 species